GGGGAUGUCUUUAUUCGAUGUCAGAUGAAGUGAUUUGUGGCAAGCGGAGUCUGCUAUCUCCUUAAAAAGGCUAACAAAAUAAGUGCCAAAAACUUAUUUGCCAAAGUCCAGGGACUGUUCGCAGUUCCGAGACUGGCCCCAGUUUUAGCAUAAAUUUGCUGAAACCAUCUCUAGCCAGGUUCGCCUGAGACGGGCUACGGGGUGUCAUUUAUCGGGAUAGAAAUAAUUCGCGCCGACCGGAUUAUUUCGAAACUAAGAUCGGCUGGAUGAUCAGUGUUUUGCUAAUUUUUAAGCUGAUGAUCGAGAACCAAAAAAUUAACUAAGCUUGUAGAAAUAAAUCAGGACAUUUGUCAGACAGGGGUGUAAUACCCCUCAUCUCCACCA
rnacentral:tmRNA from 1 species